ACCCUCUUAGGAUCACACCUGGAGAGUUUCUAGUACUCUACCUGUCUUGGCUACAUGAAGUAGAGUCAAGCAAAGACAUACCCAUUCCAUUCCUAGCUUGGGCAGUGGCUAGCGAGUGGAAAGCAAUCUGCUACAAGA